AGUGAACGCUGGCGGUAGGCCUAACACAUGCAAGUCGAACGGCAGCACAGUAAGAGCUUGCUCUUACGGGUGGCGAGUGGCGGACGGGUGAGGAAUACAUCGGAAUCUACUUUUUCGUGGGGGAUAACGUAGGGAAACUUACGCUAAUACCGCAUACGACCUACGGGUGAAAGCAGGGGAUCUUCGGACCUUGCGCGAUUGAAUGAGCCGAUGUCGGAUUAGCUAGUUGGCGGGGUAAAGGCCCACCAAGGCGACGAUCCGUAGCUGGUCUGAGAGGAUGAUCAGCCACACUGGAACUGAGACACGGUCAAGACUCCUACGGGAGGCAGCAGUGGGGAAUAUUGGACAAUGGGCGCAAGCCUGAUCCAGCCAUACCGCGUGGGUGAAGAAGGCCUUCGGGUUGUAAAGCCCUUUUGUUGGGAAAGAAAAGCAGCAGGUUAAUACCCCGCUGUUCUGACGGUACCAAAAGAAUAAGCACCGGCUAACUUCGU
rnacentral:rRNA from 1 species